rnacentral:rRNA from 1 species
GGACUACUAGGGUAUCUAAUCCGGUUCGCUCCCCACGCUUUCGCGUCUCAGCGUCAGUUGCAGGCCAGGAAGCCGCCUUCGCCACUGGUGUUCCUCCUGAUAUCUACGCAUUUCACCGCUACACCAGGAAUUCCACUUCCCUCUCCUGCACUCUAGCCAGGCCAGUUUGCAAUGCAGUUCCACGGUUGAGCCGUGGGAUUUCACAUCACACUUGACCAGCCGCCUACACGCGCUUUACGCCCAGUAAAUCCGGGUAACGCUUGCCCCCUACGUAUUACCGCGGCUGCUGGCAC